rnacentral:piRNA from 1 species
UGAAGCAAAUGCUAUUAGGCAGUGUCGU